UUUUUUGCCACCGGCUUAGCCCCCAAGUGCAUGGGUCCCGCAAAACAUCAUCUCCUCCCCCAUUCUCCUUCCUCCCCCGCAAUGGCAUCCUGCCUCCUCUGCGCGUCGCGCGAGCAGCUCCCCGGGGGCGCGCACCAAACCCUAAUCGCUCCGGGCGGCCUCGGUCCGCUCCAGCGACCGGCCGUCGGGCGAGGUGCGGCGGUGGUCGCGCUCACGCUCGGGGCGCAGGUACCACGGUGGGGGCUUGAGGAGGGCGCGGUGGGCCCUGCUCCAGGCGGCGCGGUGCGGGCGUGAAGGCGGAGGCGGAGAGGGGUUGGGAUUUUCACGCAGGACGAUGAGGUGGAGGCUCGCGGGUGGCGUCGUGAAUGGGAGAGGCGGAGCGCUGCGGCUGCUGCUGCGCACAUGGAGGCCGGGGCACCGCCCCCCGGCGGGCGCGGGAGGGUGCAUUGGCUCGUCAGCGUCGAGAUGUUGUCGUGAGGAGGUUUAGCUCUGAAGUUGAGGAGGAUGUCACCAGGGUGUAGACAACUUAACAGUGGUUUUUGUUGGGCGGGGGGCUGUAGCAGAGAUACGAUAGGUGGAUAUUUUGCAUAUGCAGAAACCACAUUGUUGCUUUUUUAAUUAUGUAUAUGUACAGGGUGUGGACAACACUUUUUAGUAUAUUUUUGUGAUUCACCUUAUAACCUGGCUGAUUCUGUCAGCUGGAUCCUCUCCGGCCAGGAGCAGAUGGCGCUCUAGAACAAGAAUUGGAAAUUGUAGAACGCAAGAACUCUGUGGAUUUUGUGCCACGUAACCACUGCGACGUUUUCUGUUGAUCCUUUAUUUAUAGUGGCUGAUUAACAACCGAUCGAAAGCAAAUGAAAGGCAGGGCUCGGUCUUGCCUCCCCUCCAUGCGUGCACCAUGACCCGCGCACUGCAUGCGCCAUCCCGCACGCCGGGUCAUGCCGCGCGACGCGGACUCCCCUCGCCACGGCGUGAACGUGCACGCCUCGGGCGGAAGUACAGGACGCGCUCUGCUCCAGUAAAGCCGGAACACAGAGCCCACUUGUCUAACAAACAAACUAACAAGGAAAAACCUGAACACAAGUUUAAAGAAGCUAACAAAUGCGAUUCAAAUAACCAUACCUAGCAUUUUUCAUGUAGGAAACUACAUCAUUUAUUGGAUUUCAUGUAGGCAAUUAACUUAUGUUAAAUGAACAUGCAAAUUAUUCAUUUUAGUUUAGCAGUUUUUAUGUUCUGAUUUAGCAUUUUCAUGUGUACAUUUCUACGAGUGAAAUGAACAUCUCACCUUGGUACUUGGAUUGUCAUUUUGCUAAUUGUUAUCAUUACUUGCUUUAUCCCUAUCCAGUAAUCAGUAGGGACAAGUGCAGGUGUUCCUUGUGUUUUGCAUCUCAUCCAGCAACAGUAGCUUCUGAAUCAACUCAGCUUUUCAGGUUUGUUCAGAGACACAUUGAGGUAGUUAACUGCAUGAGCUAUUAUUUUUUCCUUUGCCAUAGUGAUCUGUCACUCGAGUUGUCUUGCAUAGAAGAAGUCUGAUUUGUGUUAACCCCAUGUGUGGCAUGUAGCUUUUUCCUUGCACUGCUAAAUUUAAUCAUCUGUUGCUCUGGCAUGCCAUUAUGCUGUAGUUGCAUUUGUUCCAGUAGCUAGCAGCUCUUUGUUUUUUGUCUCAGCUAACAACUUUAGCUACAGCAGCAGCACUUAUGUGCUUUUUCUUCAGAGCUUGCCUCUUGUGAAUUGGCUAAUUAGUAAGUUGGUUAAACUGUGCAUUAUCAGCCACUUGGUUUGCUCAUCUGGAUUAGCUGUAUUGUGCAGGCAGGUCAAUUCAGAAGCUGCAGCUAUAGCUCGAUCAACAGCUGCAAGUGGACAUAAGCAGAAUGCUCGAGUUUCACUCAGGUUCCCAAGUUAUCCUGCAGGGGAGAUCAAGUACAAUGCAUAAAGAAGAUAUGAUGUGCAUAUGAACCAGCUUAAGUAAAUAAGUACAUAUGGAGUGAGGGCAAGUACAUUUCUUGCAUUUUUUUUGUCUAAAUGUGUACUUCAUUUGGCAAUAAUGUUGUUCUAGAUUAGGCAAAUUAUGCAAUUGUUUUAGGCAAUAAUAUGGUUCUGAAUUAGGUAAUAUUAUGGCUAGAAAUUUAGGAAAUAAUGUGUUUCUGUAUUAGCAAAAAUAUGAUCAUGAAUUAGGUUAUAUAGAACUAGCAAUGUUUGUUACUAGAGGCAUUCAGCCUUGCUGAUAUUUUAGUCCUAAUACUAACUGCACUUGCUAUUCGUUUCAGUCAUACAAAACAGUGUUUAGGACCUGAAACCUGAUGUGCCUUUUUUUCUGGCUGCAAGUUUCCUCAUCGAAUCGGCACUAUAAUAUGCUCUUCAACUAGGUGUUUGGUGGCCUAAAAGUUCAUUAGAUUGUCAUCGGCAAGAGUUUAGUUGCAGCUCAAUCUCGAUUUUGAUUCAUGAGCAACUUAGUAGUAGUUGCAGUAGCUCUAAUCUUUUUGUUUGGUCAGUACAACAGUGGAGGCAAUCAGUUAAUCACAUGUAUGCUGGUAGUUUUGAAAUUUUAUUAAUGCUUAGAAUUUAGAUGGGGGAAAAUGCGUUUGUAUAUGUUCUAAUGUGCUUAUUGUUUUCCAAGGAUUUGCUUAUCGGAGAGUAAAAAUGAGAUCUGUAUA